GUCAGGAUGGCCGAGCGGUCUAAGGCCCUGCGUUCAGGUCGCAGUCUCCCCUGGAGGCGUGGGUUCAAAUCCCACUUCUGACA
rnacentral:tRNA from 1 species